rnacentral:rRNA from 1 species
CGCGUAGGUUACGUGCCCUCUAGUUCGGGAUAAGCAUUGGAAACGAUGUCUAAUACCGAAUGUGAACUUCGGUUUAAAGCCUUCGGGUGCUAGAGGAUCGGCCUGCGUUGCAUUAGCUAGUUGGUGAGGUAACGGCUCACCAAGGCAACGAUGCAUAGCGGAUCUGAGAGGGUGAUCCGCCACACUGGGACUGAGAUACGGCCCAGACUCCUACGGGAGGCAGCAGUGAGGAAUAUUGCACAAUGGAGGAAACUCUGAUGCAGCAAUACCGCGUGAACGAAGAAGGUCUAUGGAUUGUAA